CCCUUAACUAUUAAAAGUUUCGUUUUGAUCCCUUAAUUUAUUUUUAGGUUUUGUUUUGGUCCCUUAACUCUUCCUUCGUCAACCACUUUGGUCCUUUAUGCUAGGAUGAAUGUAUUAGAGUUAAGGGACCAAAACGAAACCAAAAAAUAAGUUAAGGGACCAAAACGAAACCAAAAAAUAAGUUAAGGGAUCAAAACAAAACUUUUAAUAGUUAAGGGA
rnacentral:pre_miRNA from 1 species